rnacentral:rRNA from 1 species
ACGCUGGCGGCAGGCCUAACACAUGCAAGUCGAGCGGUAGAGAGAAGCUUGCUUCUCUUGAGAGCGGCGGACGGGUGAGUAAUGCCUAGGAAUCUGCCUGGUAGUGGGGGAUAACGUUCGGAAACGGACGCUAAUACCGCAUACGUCCUACGGGAGAAAGCAGGGGACCUUCGGGCCUUGCGCUAUCAGAUGAGCCUAGGUCGGAUUAGCUAGUUGGUGGGGUAAUGGCUCACCAAGGCGACGAUCCGUAACUGGUCUGAGAGGAUGAUCAGUCACACUGGAACUGAGACACGGUCCAGACUCCUACGGGAGGCAGCAGUGGGGAAUAUUGGACAAUGGGCGAAAGCCUGAUCCAGCCAUGCCGCCUGUGUGAAGAAGGUCUUCGGACUGUAAAGCACUUUAAGUUGGGAGGAAGGGCAGUUACCUAAUACGUGAUUGUUUUGACGUUACCGACAGAAUAAGCACCGGCUAACUCUGUGCCAGCAGCCGCGGUAAUACAGAGGGUGCAAGCGUUAAUCGGAAUUACUGGGCGUAAAGCGCGCGUAGGUGGUUCGUUAAGUUGGAUGUGAAAUCCCCGGGCUCAACCUGGGAACUCCAUUCAAAACUGACGAGCUAGAGUAUGGUAGAGGGUGGUGGAAUUUCCUGUGUAGCGGUGAAAUGCGUAGAUAUAGGAAGGAACGCCAGUGGCGAAGGCGACCACCUGGACUGAUACUGACACUGAGGUGCGAAAGCGUGGGGAGCAAAC